rnacentral:lncRNA from 1 species
UUGUGUUUGAGUGCAGUAAUCCAAGAGACCCAAUAACAUUGGGUUUAAGCCCAAUACCCUGCAGCCCGAGCUCAACAAAUUCUCCAACUGCCAUGCAAGCAUGAAAUCUCAGCCAUCCAGCCAAUCAUCAACAACCCAUUCCAUGAUCCCCUGCUCCCAUUUCUUUCGCCCGUGAUGCAGAAACAGCUCCCCAUCCCAGCGUAUCACACAUCCCGGCAAGCUCCAUUCCGAACCAUCCCACGGCCAAAGAAGGAAGGCCACAUCCCCAGCUUUUUCCAUUUCCACCGAUCCCUUCCUCCACAUCUUCCUCCCAGCUUCUUCAACCGUGCCAGCAACCGUGCCAACAACGCCCGCGUUCUUCACGCGCUGCCAGCAUCCCAACCGCAUCCCAGCAAGCAUGAUUUCCAGCGAUCUACCAACGCCCAUCAAGCAUCUUCCGGUGAUCCCGCAAGUUCCAGCAUCCUCCCCUCUUCCGGAUUCCAGCCGUGGCAUCCGUCUGAGAUCCCAGGCGCCCAUCAAGCCGUGAUCGGCUCCUCCGGCUUCAGCCCCUCCUCCGCGUCUCAAGCCAUUCCGGAUUCCCAGCAUCCACCGCAUCCCCAGCUCCUUCCAAUCCGAUGAUCUCGAAAUCCCCACCUUCCGCUUCCGUGCUAGCACCGCGUCCGUGAAUGGCGUCCUCCGCGUUCUCCUCCUCGUCCCAGCAACCUCAUUCUUCACGCGGUGAAAAUCUUCCAUAUUCACCGCAUCUCCAAGUGCUAUAAGAAGGGGGCAAGAAGGCAGGCAGGUGCGCUCGGUGGAGGCAAAGAAAUAGGGGAGGAAGGCGUGCUCGGUUGGGGUGGAGGCCAAGAAACAGGGGAGAAAAGGAUUCUCGGCUGGUUCAAAAGGGAGAUGAGGGCUCUGUUUUGAGGAGAGAAAGAAAAAAAGAAACAGAGGAGGAGCUCUGUUUUCCGAGAAGAAGGAAGAAAAAAAAUAAUAUUUUAUUUUUUUAGUGUUCAACCGAGAGGGGUUACUUGUUCCCUUGUUUUCAUUUCCUUUUCUUCUUACUUUUGUAAGCAUUUUUCUUUUUAUGCAAGCUAUUACAUUUUCUUUUAUGCAAUCGGUGCUCUAGGUUUUGUUUAAUCUUUGCACUUUAUUCUGAAAUUCUUAGUUUUAAGAUAACUCUGAAAUUAAUCUUCGCUAUUCGUCUGGUGAUUUUAAUUCAUAUUCUGUCUUUAGAAAUCGACCCCUACUCUGCAUCCAAUUUCAAUUGCAAAGUUUUCUUUCUUCCCUUUGUUUAUUUUCAAUUAGAAAACAUUCAACAUCACCGGCGUAAUGUUUUUCUUUCGUUAUUCAAAAAUCGAUUUCAAAUCCGAGUGAAUGUUUUAAUUUUUAUGCAACUCCAAUCGCCUCCCUGUGGAUCGACCUCUUACGACUGCUAUUCUUCGAGUAGAACAGGUAGAGUAAAUUAAAUUUAAACUUUGUUUGUCGGUUCUAACAACGAUCUGUUUAGCAUAUUUCUAGUUAAACAGGAAUCGGACGAACAGGGAUCACCGAGCCCGAAAUUGACUCUGGAGGGGUGAGUGGGCGCGAUCUUACUUCUGGCCUCCUUCAUGACCUUCGAGAUGGAGGUUGUUGCUACCUUAGGCCAAACUAUCUUGAUGGCCUACUAGCUUGCUGGAGGAGGGACAAUCCAUUUUUUCAGGUCUUACAUCAUCAUUGUGAGGGCUUGCACUUGCUAGACAAGCAUGCCAAGUUGUCCCGCAUCGACAUCCUUAAUGGCCAAUGGAGGAGGCCAGAUCUUAGAGGGCUGUACAAGGAGCUAUUAGACUCUAGUUGAAUAGCUCCUUGGUUGGUAUCAAUAUCAUCCAAUCAUCUAUCUAGCCCCAAACACAGUUAAUGGGCUGGUUAAAAGACAAAAAUACCCUUAUUCUUAACCAACAUAUACAAAUGAAGUGGUACCUUGCUCUAUUUCUAUUCAGCCUCUUCUCUUCCUCUCUUUCUUUGAUGAAGCUAAAACAUGGCCUACUAGGCCUGUUGGCAACAGCCUCCAUAAUAAGGACUCCUUCACCCUGACCAAUUGCUCCUUCUCUAGCAUUACAUACGAUGCGAAUGUCAUCACCCUCGUCAUCUCUUAUGUUAGAUCGAUCCCACUACUUGUUGCUGCUAGAGAUUGGCUAUAUUGACUAGCAAAUGGGCAAUGCUGCAUGGAAGCAAAGGGAAAUUGGAGAUAGUUGGCCUUAGUUUGCCAUUGUUGUGCCACUCUAGCCCAUGAUCUUGUUGUUGUGGAAUUCUACCUUAUCAAGCAAAAUCCUCCCUAGCACCUUCCUUAAUUUGCCUCAAUAUCCAGUGCCCUCCCUUGACUAGCCUCUUCUCCAUUCUUCUUAAGAUACUAGAAAGCAAUGGUGAUCCCACAAAGAAGAUGAAAACCAACACCUUGACCAUGCUGAAAUCCACCCAACGCCUCCUUCUUGUUCUCAUAGCUGGACUCACUAUAGUUGCACAUCACCAGAUUUGAGGAACUUAUUUCCAGUGUCACUGCUAUUCGAGACUAUAAUUGAACACAUGGGGCACCUUACCACCACUCAUGCCAUUCCGGCAAGAGAAGUUGGGGAGGUGAUGGCAAAAUUUAAGUGCUGAAAACUCAAAUUGCUAAUGGCAUGCAGUACAGUGCUCUAUCAUGGAAGUGGAUGAGCUAACAUAUAUGAUCUCACUGAAGAAACCACAGAGGUUGAUGCCGGCAAUGAGGAGGGAGUUGAGCUAGAAGCAGCAGGUGGAGGUUUGACCCUGAGAAAUGUAAUUCUCAAGAUAACAUGGUCUAACCUCACUAACAUUGAUAGUGAUUUGGUUAUUGAUGAUGUGGAUUAGGGUGUCAAGGUUGGUGCCCAACUCCAUAGCAAUGGUGACAUUAUCAGCAUCGAAAGCAAGAAGAGGCCUAAAAAGCCAUUGAACAUUCUAAGGAAGUGGGGUUAGGAGGAAGUUGAGGCCACCAUAAGAGAACGAGUCGAGAGGCAGGUCAAGAAAGUGAAUGUGGUGGCGUUAAAGGAGCACAUUUGGGUUAUACACCACGAUCUAGAAGGGGCACAUGUUGGGAUGAGAGGGUGCAAUGUGGGAUUAGGGGCACAUGUUGGGAUGAGAGCUUGUAAUGUGGGAUCAUAGUGGAGGCAACAAGGGGGUUGUGCUACCUUCAUCUGGUUCUAGUUAGCAAGAGAAAGGUAAAUUAGGAAUAAUAUAAUUGAAGUUAUCAUAUGAUAAUCACAUAAUAACUAAUAUACAACACUUCCUAAUAGAGAUGGAUGGUUGGACCACAUUGUCACAAAAAGGUUUUGAUUGUCAAUUGAAAGUUUUUAAACAUUUGGGGUCAAUGUAUUUUUCAUCAAACUUGAAAGGGUGUCACUGUAUUUUUUCUAAAGUUAAACAAAAUAAACAUGGUCAUUAAAUUAGCUUCUAAAAAUCCUAAACAUUUAAUUUAAUUUUAACUAGAUGAAGGAUUAAUAAUUAAUUUUUCCAAGAAACUUUGAUUGUUUUACUAUAGUACUUAUAAGAUAUUGUAGAGUCAUCUUGAUCAUUCAUUUUAAUAUAGAGGUUGACUCUCUACCCUGAUCAACAAAACUCACUCUAUAUAGCACCAUAACAUUUUCAUCAAACCAUCUCUCCUCUCUCUCUCUCUCUCUCUCUCUC